UUCUGACUGUCACAAAGACUUUAAGCUGCUGACCAAAAAAGGAUUCUGUAACCUAAACCACAGAAGCAGAAGAGGUGAUUGAAAGAUACAUAUCAGUUUACACCCAAAAUUAAAGUAUCUAGAUAGUAUUCUUUCAUAGAAGAGAAUCUUAUUUCUAGUUCCAGAUGGAAUGAUACUCACAGAAGUGAUUCAUGUCCUGUCUUCAAGUGCUGGCUAAGCUGAGGCUCGGGAAGGGGAGGAGUAGUCUUGAACGGGAACAACUCCUUGUUUCUCCAGUUUUUCCUUCACAUGAUCUGACACAUUUUCUGUGUGCAAAUGCGCAAAAGAGGCCUUGGAGGAGAGGAUCAACAGCUGCACGGCAGAGGAGAUCUAGCCUGGCUUGGUGGUGGAUGGAUAAACAUGGAUCCACUGGACACACGGAAUCAGAACAAAAGUUUAUCUCCUUGUAUAACCUCCUCGUUAUAAUUACUGAACAAAAUAACAGCAAUAAGACACGACAAAAGUUGAAAAUGAGUGCUUGCUGCAGGGACUGCUGUGCAUUUUCUGACCCAUUCACAGGGACAGGAUUUGGUACUAGGGCUGUGGACAUUUUGUGUUACCUUUCACAUAAGACACACAGUUGUUAA
rnacentral:lncRNA from 1 species